rnacentral:misc_RNA from 1 species
AUUCGCUGUUUCCAUAAGAGAAGCAGAGACUGGUGAGAGAGUGCGCCGGCGGUGAGUCUUGGAAGGAGAAGGAAAAACAAGCAAAGGGUAUGUAGCAGACUUGUUGAAGAAGAGAGGAGUGAGUAGAGGAUGGUGGUUAUUGCGGCGUUGCUGCCGAUAUUGCAGCGGCACCAGUGCGGUGUUGGAGGCUGCUGUGACCAUUGUUGCACUGUUGUUG